UUUCACCCUUGACCCAUUUUCAUGCCUGAUAAAUAUAUAUUUAAACAAGGUCUAUAAUAGAAAUAUUACUAAUAUAAAAUAUGUUGUAUGGUUUGAGUAUAAACAACCUGUUUGGUUUUACAGGACUGAUCUUUGCACCACACUUUUGGUUCCCUUCCACCUAUACUUACUUAUAAUAUUGAUAUUAUAAAACUAUACAUAGCUCGUGUCGUUCCCAGUUCACCCUUACUACACGCUUGGGUUUACCGGGUCUGUCCCGAGUCUUCCCCCAUCCUCUGACCCAGCUCACAACCAUAUGGUGAUCAGUUGACAGCUCUGCCCCUCUCUUUACCCGAGUGUCCAGAACAUGCGGCCUCAGAUCAGACGAUACGAUUACAAAAUCGAUCAUUGAUCUUUGGCCUAGGGUGCUCUGGUACCACGUACACUUAUGAACAUCCUUAUGUUCGAACAUGGUGUUUGUUAUGGACAAUCCGUGACUGGCACAGAAGUCCAGUAACAAACACCCGUUCGGGUUCAGAUCAGGGAGGCCAUUCCUCCCAAUCACGCCUCUCCAGUUAUCUCCAUCGUCACCCACGUGCGCAUUGAAGUCUCCCAGUAGGACUAUGGAGUCCCCUACUGGAGCCCCAUGCAGGACUCCAUUCAGGGUCUCCAAAAAGGCCGAAUACUCUGAGCUGCUGUUUGGUGCAUAUGCACAGACAACAGUCAGAGUUUUCCCCCCCACCACCCGAAGGCGUAGGGAGGCGACCCUUUUGUCCACCGGGCCGGGGACUUAUGAGUAUCCCCACACCUGCCUGGCGCGUCACACCAUGGGCCACUCCGGAGUAGAAUAGAGUCCACCCCCUAUCCAGGAGUGUGGUUCCAGAGCCAAGGCUGUGCGUAGAGGUAAGCCCCACCAGAUCCAACUGAUAACGCUCCACCUCCCGCACAAGCUCCGGCUCCUUCCCCCCCAGAGAGGUUACGUUCCACGUCCCCAGAGCCAGCAUCUGCUGCCCAGGUCUGUUCCGUCUAGACCCCCCACUGUCACUGCCACCCUUGUAGCAGCGCACCCGACCCCAUCGGUUUCCUCCACAGGUGGUGAGCCCAUGGGGAGUAGAGUGUUGGGCUGCCGCGUCACCCCUUCGGGC
ensembl:lncRNA